rnacentral:rRNA from 1 species
AUUAGCUUGUUGGCGGGAUAACAGCCCACCAAGGCUACGAUGGUUAGCCGACCUGAGAGGGUGAUCGGCCACACUGGAACUGAGACACGGUCCAGACUCCUACGGGAGGCAGCAGUGGGGAAUAUUGCGCAAUGGGCGAAAGCCUGACGCAGCAACGCCGUGUGAGGGAUGAAGGCCUUUGGGUCGUAAACCUCUGUCAAAUGGGAAGAAUUCUGACGGUACCAUUAGAGGAAGCCCCGGCUAACUCCGUGCCAGCAGCCGCGGUAAUACGGAGGGGGCAAGCGUUGUUCGGAAUCAUUGGGCGUAAAGAGUAUGUAGGCGGCUGGAUAAGUCAGACGUGUAAGCCCACGGCUCAACCGUGGAAUUGCGUUUGAAACUGUUUAGCUUGAGUACAGGAGAGGAAAGCGGAAUUCCCAGUGUAGCGGUGAAAUGCAUUGAUAUUGGGAAGAACACCGGUGGCGAAGGCGGCUUUCUGGUCUGCUACUGACGCUGAGAUACGAAAGCCAGGGGAGCAAAGGGGAUUAGAUACCCCCGUAGUCCUGGCCGUAAACGAUG